UGGGGAAUAUUGGACAAUGGGCGAAAGCCUGAUCCAGCCAUGCCGCGUGAGUGACGAAGGUCUUCGGAUUGUAAAGCUCUUUUGGCAGGGACGAUAAUGACGGUACCUGCAGAAUAAGCCCCGGCUAACUUCGUGCCAGCAGCCGCGGUAAUACGAAGGGGGCUAGCGUUGUUCGGAAUUACUGGGCGUAAAGCGCACGUAGGCGGAUUUGUUAGUCAGGGGUGAAAUCCCGGGGCUCAACCUCGGAACUGCCUUUGAUACUGCAAGUCUUGAGUCCGGAAGAGGUGAGUGGAAUUCCUAGUGUAGAGGUGAAAUUCGUAGAUAUUAGGAAGAACACCAGUGGCGAAGGCGGCUCACUGGACCGGUACUGACGCUGAGGUGCGAAAGCGUGGGGAGCAAACAGGAUUAGAUACCCCCGUAGUCC
rnacentral:rRNA from 1 species